GUUUCCGUAGUUAAAUUAUAUAACGGUGGCUUUUCAAGCCACAGUUUUUGGAGAGAAGCCAAGCGGGAAUU
rnacentral:tRNA from 1 species